UUUUUUGUACGCCAUAAUAUCGUACGAUGUUCACGUUUUAUCGUGCCGUCCAUAAUAUCAUAUAAUAAAAGUACCAUUAAAUAUUAUGUACGAUAUAUUAUUAUUACAUAUCGCGACUUUACACAAAUUAACGAAAACCGUAUAAAUUCUCGUACGGGACUUUUCGUGAACAAAAUGCGUUUUUAGUGUGCUCGGACCGACCGCGGUUGAAAUUUCGCCGGGAAAUCGAGUCGCGCGAGGUGUUGUCACUGCUUCGAAAAUUCAAAAAAUGUUAUUGCCACAAUGAUAUAGGUACACCUGUCACCUAUAGGCUAUAGGUUGUGGUCCGAGAGUUGAGUCGAGGGUUUCGGUCAAGUUGAGGUCCAUUCGCUCCUGGUCGUAAACAUGGCAUUCAGUCAAGAUGUGAUUGACGGUGAGAUGUUGGCCGCAGGCUUCACAGAAGGGGGGUUUCGUCAUUGGACAUGAGAUAUCCGUGGGUCGCUCAAUCGUGUUUACAGACCAUGACGUGAAAAAAAUAAAAUAGACUUCCAGUCUUGACAAUAUAAUGGCACGUCAACAGGUAUUCAAAUAUUCAAAUAUCAUAUAUUAUUUAUCGUGUUUUUAUGACCACUACAUCAGUGGUUCAACAAUGUUAACUCUGCAGUAGUAUAGACCCUAUUUAUUUGGUCUUUUCAAUUUUUUAAUAAUCCAUUUGGUUUAUUUACCUAAAACUUUAUUAUGUAUGUACCUAUUGUAAGUUGUAACUAUCUGUCUGUUUUUUUAAUAAUUCACACUUUAUGAUAUGGCGUUAUAGGAAGUAUUAUUGUGUUAUAAUUAUAUAUUUUAUUUUUUUUUUUCUCAUCUCGCUUUAUUUGUAUUAUAUUUGUAUUAAUAUAUUGAAUAUUCUAUAAACAUCUAAAUGUUUUCAAUCUGUGUAAAUCGAGUUAAUUCGUUAUGCUUUAUUUUUUAUA